rnacentral:rRNA from 1 species
GAUGAACGCUGACAGAAUGCUUAACACAUGCAAGUCGAUGGGGAAGUGGUGCUUGCACCAUGGUAACCAUGGCGGACGGGUGAGUAACGCGUAAGGAACUUGCCUGCGGGACUGGGAUAACGGCAGGAAACUGCUGAUAAUACCGGAUAAGGUCAUUAAGCUGCAUAGCUUAGUGAUGAAAGGAGACGCCUGCGGAGAGCCUUGCGUCCUAUUAGCUAGUUGGAGGGGUAACGGCCCACCAAGGCGAAGAUAGGUAGCCGGCCUGAGAGGGUGGACGGCCACAAGGGGACUGAGAUACGGCCCUUACUCCUACGGGAGGCAGCAGUGGGGAAUAUUGGACAAUGGGGGCAACCCUGAUCCAGCAAUUCUGUGUGCACGAAGACGGUUUUCGGAUUGUAAAGUGCUUUCAGCAGGGAAGAAGGAAGUGACGGUACCUGCAGAAGAAGCGACGGCUAAAUACGUG